rnacentral:rRNA from 1 species
CUAAAUACUACCCAGUGACCGAUAGCGUAUAGUACUGUGAAGGAAAGGUGAAAAGCACCCCGGGAGGGGAGUGAAAAAGAACCUGAAACCCUGUGCCUACAAGCACCUAGAGCACGUCAAUGUGUGAUAGGGUACUUUUUGUAGAACGGUCCGGCGAGCGAUUGUAUGCAGCAAGGUUAAGGACUUAAGGUCUGGAGCCGAAGCGAAAGCGAGUUUGAAAAGGGCGUUAAGUUGCAUAUAAUGGGCCCGAAACCGGGUGACCUACCCAUGGUCAGGUUGAAGUGGAAGUAAAAUUCCAUGGAGGACCGAACCGACCUCCGUUGAAAAGGCGGCGGAUGAACUGUGGGUAGCGGAGAAAUUCCAAUCGAACCCGGAGAUAGCUGGUUCUCCCCGAAAUAGUUUUAGGACUAGCCUCAAGUUAGAUACCUGGAGGUAAAGCACUGAAUAGCCUAGCGGCCGAGAGGUUAGCGAAGCUUAUCAAACUCAGAAUGCCAGAGUAUUGAUGCUUGGGAGUCAGACAGUGUCAGAUAAAUGUCAUUGUCAAAAGGGAAACAGCCCAGAUCUACAGCUAAGGUCCCAAAGUCAGGUUAAGUGGAAAACGAUGUGAAGAUACGCAGACAACCAGGAUGUUGGCUCAGAAGCAGCCACUCAUUCAAAGAGUGCGUAAUAGCUCACUGGUCGAGCGUCUUUGCGCGGAGAAUUUAACGGGGCUAAACCUGACACCGAAGCUUAGGCAAUGUACUUUGUACAUUGGGUAGGGGAGCGUUGUAUACGCGGUGAAACAGUAGCGCAAGCGGCUGUGGAGUGUAUAGAAGUGAGAAUGCCGGAAUGAGUAGCGCGAAUGCAGUGAGAAUCUGCAUGGCCGAAAGCCUCAGGUUUCUGGAGGAAGGUUCGUCCGCUCCAGGUUAGUCGGGAGCUAAGGUGAGGCCGAAAGGCGUAGCCGAUGCACAGACGGUAGAGAUUCCGUCACCACCAAAAGAGUUAAGCACAGGGACACAUAAGAAGUCUCAGAGCCGGGUGUUGGUUCCGGUAGAGAUCGAGGGAAAAUAGUACCGAAGUCUGGGAUGGAAGAUGGCGAGAAAAGCUGUGUGGAUUUCUAAGGUGCCCGUACCGCAAACCGACACAGGUAGGUAGGAAGAAGAUUCUAAGGCCAACGGGAGAAGGGUUGUUAAGGAACUCGGCAAAUUGACCCCGUAACUUCGGGAGAAGGGGUGCUCCAGAGAUGGAGCCGCAGAGAAUCGGCCCAAGCAACUGUUUACCAAAAACACAGGUUUGUGCUAAAUCGAAAGAUGACGUAUACGAGCUGACGCCUGCCCGGUGCUGGAAGGUUAAGAGGAGAUGUGCAAGCAUUGAAUCGAAGCCCCAGUGAACGGCGGCCGUAACUAUAACGGUCCUAAGGUAGCGAAAUUCCUUGUCAGGUAAGUUCUGACCCGCACGAAAGGCGUAAUGAUUUGGGCACUGUCUCAACAGCCCGCCCGGCGAAAUUGUAGUACUGGUGAAGAUGCCAGUUACCCGCAACUAGACGGAAAGACCCCAUGGAGCUUUACUGCAGCUUAAUACUGGAAUUCGGUAAAUCAUGUACAGGAUAGGUGGGAGACAGGGAAGCAUUGGCGUCAGCCAGUGUGGAGUCGCUGGUGGGAUACCACUCUUGAUUUGCUGGGUUUCUAACCUGCGGCCGUGAAUCCGGUCGGGGGACACUGUUAGGCGGGCAGUUUGACUGGGGCGGUCGCCUCCUAAAGAGUAACGGAGGCGCUCAAAGGUUGGCUCAGCACGGACGGAAAUCGUGCAGUGAGUGUAAACGUAGAAGCCAGCCUAACUGCGAGACCGACGGGUCGAGCAGUAACGAAAGUUGGAGUUAGUGAUC